GUUUAUUUUAGUUAUUUCCAAUAAUCAAACCAAACCAUAUAUAUAUCCACCCCAUAUUUCAAACACACCAUUGGCUAAUAUGAUUUCACAAAAGUUUAGUCAAUCCCAAGUUUCUGCUUGAGCUGCAAAACAUAGCCAUAAAUUUUUUGAGGGUCAGGAAGUGACUUAGAGACGCUCUUCUUUUGCAUGCACCUCUUCACCCAUGCAACUAUCUUUGGGCAUUCCUUCUCUAUGCUAAAAUUUCCACAUUUCUCAAAAGAGUAAAACCAGCUGGAAAUUGGAACAAGUGCCACAUCCACAAAUCCAAUUCUUUCACCACCAAAGUAAACCUUCUCUCCAAGUUCUCCUUCCAAGGCCCUCAACCCUGCUAUGAACUCCCUCUUUACUUCCUCUUGCUUUUCUCCUUUCUCCCUCCAUAGCUUCUUCCCAUUAGUAUAAAUCUUCUUGUCAAUGUAAUCAGCCCA
rnacentral:misc_RNA from 1 species